AUUGAACGCUGGCGGCAUGCCUUACACAUGCAAGUCGAACGGUAACAGGUUAAGCUGACGAGUGGCGAACGGGUGAGUAAUAUAUCGGAACGUGCCCAGUCGUGGGGGAUAACGUAGCGAAAGCUACGCUAAUACCGCAUACGAUCUACGGAUGAAAGCGGGGGAUCGCAAGACCUCGCGCGAUUGUAGCGGCCGAUAUCAGGUUAGGUUGUUGGUGAGGUAAAAGCUCACCAAGCCUGCGAUCUGUAGCUGGUCUGAGAGGACGACCAGCCACACUGGGACUGAGACACGGUCCAGACUCCUACGGGAGGCAGCAGUGGGGAAUUUUGGACCAUGGACGCAAGUCUGAUCCAGCAAUGCCGCGUGCAGGACGAAGGCCUUCGGGUUGUAAACUGCUUUUGUACGGAACGAAACGGUGAGCUCUAAUACAGUUUGCUAAUGACGGUACCGUAAGAAUAAGCACCGGCUAACUACGUGCCAGCAGCCGCAGUAA
rnacentral:rRNA from 1 species